rnacentral:rRNA from 1 species
AGCGCAGGCGGACCGGCAAGUUGGGAGUGAAAACCAUGGGCUCAACCCGUGAAUUGCUUUCAAAACUGCUGGCCUUGAGUAGUGCAGAGGUAGGUGGAAUUCCCGGUGUAGCGGUGGAAUGCGUAGAUAUCGGGAGGAACACCAGUGGCGAAGGCGACCUACUGGGCACCAACUGACGCUGAGGCUCGAAAGCAUGGGUAGCAAACA